UGCGGAAUAGGGCAGCUUCUUUUCCGUGGCGCAAGGGGAGGGACGGAGCCGCCGCUAGAGGGUCGCGUGGGGAGGAAAGCCUUCCCCAAGAAAAUGCCUGGGAAAGUCUGUGCCUGCUCUCUGUAGCCAGAGAGCUGCUGCCAUACAUGGACUCUCACUACCAAGAAGACCAGAAGAGGACCAAUGGGGACACCAUUGGGAUCCAGGGGGUGGUGAUAUUUUCUACUCAAUCUGUCAUCUCUGUCACUCUCUUUCUGUCCCCCACUAUUCUCUUAUUUCUGUCUCUCACACUCUCCCCUCUCCCCCUCAUAUUCACUGUUAAAUAAAAUUGAUAC